rnacentral:lncRNA from 1 species
GGCAUGUAGCUGGAAAAAUAAUUCCAGAUCUCUCAUGUAAAGAUGUUUCAGUAAGUGGAAGAUCAUCUUUAUGCUUGCCCCUCCACCACAUGGACCCCAGGAAAGAUGAGGAAACUGAAGCCAAAGAAGAUUAAAGAACUCACCCAGUGUCACAUCCCAUCCUGCCUUCCUCAAAGCAACAGGAACUACUUUCUUGCUUCCCACAGCCAGACAGCCCUGGGCUAGACGGUGGCUCAGAUGCCUUGCUCACAAGGCAAGAGACCUGGGUUCAAGUCCUGGUGCAGAAAAUUCCCUGGAGAAGGGAAUAUUUUCUUAAAAGAUUAGUGGUUUCCAAAACCAUAAGACAAGUAUCAAAAUUCAUACACAGAAGAAUGAUCAUCUUACUACUGGAUGGGAACCAUUUCCUUCUCACCAAAAAUUUGGAGCAUCCUAGACCUCAGUGUUCCAAAGUAUUCAUCAAUAACAAAUUAUAGUACAUACCAUAUGUUAUAGGAAUUAUACAUGAAAUGAGC